GGCUGCAUUACUGGGCGAAUACUCUUAUGGCAGAUGAUUUUGGCAUUGCUUGAGAUGAAAGCAAAAUGUUUCUCUGCCAAAGGAGAUUUGCCCCGCAAUUCAUCC
rfam:Brassica napus, WGS project CCCW01000000 data, contig: 23613